rnacentral:rRNA from 1 species
UACAGAGGUCUCAAGCGUUGUUCGGAUUCAUUGGGCGUAAAGGGUGUGUAGGUGGCGCCGUAAGUCGGGUGUGAAAUUUCGGAGCUUAACUCCGAAACUGCAUUCGAUACUGCGGUGCUUGAGGACUGGAGAGGAGACUGGAAAUUCAUGGUGUAGCAGUGAAAUGCGUAGAGAUCAUGAGGAAGACCAGUGGCGAAGGCGGGUCUCUGGACAGUUCCUGACACUGAGACACGGAAGGCCAGGGGAGCAAACGGGG